UACGAAGGGGGCUAGCGUUGUUCGGAAUCACUGGGCGUAAAGCGCACGUAGGCGGAUUGUUAAGUCGGGGGUGAAAUCCUGAGGCUCAACCUCAGAACUGCCUCCGAUACUGGCAAUCUCGAGUUCGGAAGAGGUUGGUGGAACAGCUAGUGUAGAGGUGAAAUUCGUAGAUAUUCGCAAGAACACCAGUGGCGAAGGCGGCCAACUGGACCAACACUGACGCUGAGGCGCGAAAGCGUGGGGAGCAAACAGG
rnacentral:rRNA from 1 species